rnacentral:RNase_MRP_RNA from 1 species
CGAGUCUUCUAUGCUUGUCUUUCGGGGUUACAUACGAGUUCUUAGUAACUCUUGUUUAUGAUACCCUGGGAAAAGUCCCCGGGUCUAGGAUAGAAAGUAUCAAGGCGUAAAAAGUAUUUAUAUUAAAAUGUUCAAAAGACUCUCGUUCUCGAUAGUUUGCUGUGCAUAUUUAAUUAAAUAUUCGCCUAUAUUCCAUGGAAAUUCUCUUAGCAUAAAAUCAAUGAAGAGUCAAAUGGGAAUUUGACGAAUUGAUGCUAGGUGUCCAUGGAAACGUGCCAGAUAAAAUUCUUAGUAAUAGACAACCGAAAUGCGUGCCGAUUUCUCUUAGAAACCGGACAUGUGUUCACAUAAUGGGGCUUACAUUGGGAGAUUC